rnacentral:rRNA from 1 species
CCUACGGGUGGCAGCAGUAGGGAAUAUUGCUCAAUGGGGGAAACCCUGAAGCAGCAACGCCGCGUGGAGGAUGAAGGUUUUCGGAUUGUAAACUCCUUUUGUUAGGGAAGAUAAUAGCGGUAUCUAACGGAUUAGCCCCGGCUAACUCCGGUCCAGACGCCGCGGUAAUACGGAGGGUGCCAGCGUUACUCGGAAUCACUGGGCGUAAAGAGCUCGUAGGCGGGAUAUCAAGGAAGUUGUGAAAUCCUAUGGCUUAACCAUAGAACUGCAUUUGAAACUGUAAUUCUAGAGGUUGGGAGAGGUAGGUGGAAUUCUUGGUGUAGGGGUAAAAUCCGUAGAGAUCAAGAGGAAUACUCAUUGCGAAGGCGACCUGCUAGAACAUAACUGACGCUGAUGCGCGAAAGCGUGGGGAGCAAACAGGAUUAGAUACCCCAGUAGUC